UUAGGAAUUUUCCACAAUGGGCGCAAGCCUGAUGGAGCAACGCCGCGUGCAGGAUGAAGGCUUUAGGGUUGUAAACUGCUUUUAUAUGUGACGAAUAUGACGGUAGCAUAUGAAUAAGGAUCGGCUAACUCCGUGCCAGCAGCCGCGGUCAUACGGAGGAUCCAAGCGUUAUCCGGAUUUACUGGGCGUAAAGAGUUGCGUAGGUGGUUUGUUAAGUGAAUAGUGAAAUCUUGUGGCUCAACCAUAAGGCUAUUAUUCAAACUGGCAAACUCGAGAAUGGUAGAGGUCACUGGAAUUCCUGGUGUAGGAGUGAAAUCCGUAGAUAUAAGGAGGAACACCAAUGGCGUAGGCAGGUGACUGGCUCAUUUCUGACACUGAGGCACGAAAGCGUGGGGAGCGAACG
rnacentral:rRNA from 1 species